ACCGAGUUAGUUCAACCUAUACAUGUAAUAAAAUAUGAUGGAUUUAGAACUCACAAUACCAUGUAGGUUUUUACAACUUAUUAUGAUAAUUUUAUGGAGAGAUAGCAGAAACUAAUUCAGUACAUAACUUUCAAAAAUACAGAUUCAGCAAAAAUUGAAUAGGAAUUAAGAUGAAAAAUAUAUGUGACCAAAUACCAAGCACUUUGAUCUACACAACAUCACAUAUGAAACAGGUAUGGGAAAUUACAGACAUAAAACAGAUCCUCCAUUCUUCUUGCUCACGAAAUUUGAAAUUAUAAUGAAGUUUUUACUGGUGAAUAUAGAUUGUAUUCAUAUGAAUGAUUUUUGGAGAUGGAAUAAAUUUGCAACGAAGCAAUAGCAACUCUAUAAACUAUUAUUUCUUGUAAAGAAUAAGACAAUAAAUGAUUCGUACAUU